GGGGACAUUUUGCUGAAAUACAGAGAAGAAUGUCAGGAACCAGUUUGCUGAAGAUCUACAUUGGGACAUUUUGUAAAAGUGGUUAUGACAGUGUGUCUUCGAGCCAAUUGGGAGUUUGGCAGCCAGAGGGAGCACAGCGCUGAGCUGCCAACAUGGCUGAUCUCUUUUCAGACUGAGUUGAUUCACAAAAAGUUAUCCAAGAGCACGCUUCAGACGUCUUGAAUCAACC